GGUUCUGGAUGGCUCAGUGGGUAGAGCAGGCGUGCCUGGCUAUAGUCCAAGAUGCGGCUGUCCUGGGUUUGAUUCUCCAUCUCGGGCCA